GCCUACGGGGGGCAGCAGUGAGGAAUAUUGGUCAAUGGGCGGGAGCCUGAACCAGCCAAGCCGCGUGAGGGAAGAAGGUACAGCGUAUCGUAAACCUCUUUUGUCAGGGAACAAAGGCGGGGACUAGUCCCCGGAUGAGGGUACCUGAAGAAAAAGCAUCGGCUAACUCCGUGCCAGCAGCCGCGGUAAUACGGAGGAUGCGAGCGUUAUCCGGAUUUAUUGGGUUUAAAGGGUGCGCAGGCGGCCUGUUAAGUCAGCGGUAAAAGCCCGGGGCUCAACCCCGGCAAGCCGUUGAAACUGGCGGG
rnacentral:rRNA from 1 species